UUGAACGCUGGCGGCAGGCCUAACACAUGCAAGUCGAGCGGAUGAAGGGAGCUUGCUCCUGGAUUCAGCGGCGGACGGGUGAGUAAUGCCUAGGAAUCUGCCUGGUAGUGGGGGAUAACGUCCGGAAACGGGCGCUAAUACCGCAUACGUCCUGAGUGAGAAAGUGGGGGAUCUUCGGACCUCACGCUAUCAGAUGAGCCGAGGUCGGAUUAGCUAGUUGGUGGGGUAAAGGCCUACCAAGGCGACGAUCCGUAACUGGUCUGAGAGGAUGAUCAGUCACACUGGAACUGAGACACGGUCCAGACUCCUACGGGAGGCAGCAGUGGGGAAUAUUGGACAAUGGGCGAAAGCCUGAUCCAGCCAUGCCGCGUGUGUGAAGAAGGUCUUCGGAUUGUAAAGCACUUUAAGUUGGGAGGAAGGGCAGUAAGUUAAUACCUUGCUGUUUUGACGUUACCAACAGAAUAAGCACCGGCUAACUUCGUG
rnacentral:rRNA from 1 species